rnacentral:rRNA from 1 species
AUGAGCAACGCAGCUAGCGCAACCCCCCUCCUCGCCCCCUACAAGAUGGGGAAAUUUGAUCUCUCCCACAGGGUGGUUCUUGCGCCGCUCACGAGGCAGCGGUCGUUCGGAAACGUUCCUCAGCCCCAUGCCAUACUGUAUUACCAGCAGAGAGCAACCAAAGGAGGCCUCCUGAUUGCUGAGGCCACUGGAGUUUCAGACACUGCUCAAGGGUACAAGGACACUCCUGGCAUCUGGACCAAGAAGCAGGUAGAGGCAUGGAAGCCGAUCGUCGAUGGGGUUCAUGUCAAAGGAGGGAUAUUUUUCUGUCAGAUUUGGCAUGUAGGAAGAGUCCAAUCAUAA